rnacentral:rRNA from 1 species
GACGUAGGAGGUGAGCGUUGUCCGGAUUCAUUGGGCGUAAAGAGCGCGCAGGCGGCUUGGUAAGUCGGAUGUGAAAUCCCGAGGCUCAACCUCGGGUCUGCAUCCGAUACUGCCCGGCUAGAGGUAGGUAGGGGAGGUCGGAAUUCCUGGUGUAGCGGUGAAAUGCGCAGAUAUCAGGAGGAACACCGGUGGCGAAGGCGGAUCUCUGGGCCUUACCUGACGCUCAGGCGCGAAAGCUAGGGGAGCGAACUGG